rnacentral:lncRNA from 1 species
AGGAGUAUUACAUUAUGAUCCAGUGAGGAGAAUAAGGGGAGAUUUUACUUUGAAGGACUUAUUAUCGUAAUUAGUAAAUAUUGAUUUCUAAGUCAUUGAAGUCAGUAUUAGAUAAAAUUGACCCAAGUUAACACUACUAGUGGUAUGCUAUAAAAAUUCAUUUAAAACAGAGGGACUAUUUCAUUCUUUUGUUUCCAUUCUCUAGGGGACUGUAUGCUGUUAGAGGUCAGAUACUAUCUGCCUAUCUUAUCUAUAUCUAUCUAGAUAUUCUUAUGACCCAAUGUGCUCAAUAGCUUAUUUUUAAGAUAAAAACAUAAAUGCCUUCAUGUAUUAUCUGGUAUCUGCUGUAAAUCUGAUAUUACAUUGUAAUAAUCCUUUAUAUAACAAUUCAUCUUAAUUAUAGCAACUAUAGUACAUAUAAGAAAACUUCCACAGCUGCUUACCUGGAUCUUGAGUAAUUUAUAUGUACAUUAUUUGUGAAAAUAACUUAUGUAUUACUGCUCCCAUUAC